ACGGGAGGCAGCAGUGGGGAAUAUUGGGCAAUGGGGGAAACCCUGACCCAGCAACGCCGCGUGAAGGAAGAAGGCCCUCGGGUUGUAAACUUCUUUUAGAUGGGACGAACAAAUGACGGUACCAUCAGAAGAAGCAACGGCUAACUACGUGCCAGCAGCCGCGGUAAUACGUAGGUUGCAAGCGUUGUCCGGAUUUACUGGGUGUAAAGGGCGUGUAGGCGAAGCCGCAAGUCAGAUGUGAAAUCCCGGGGCUUAACCCCGGAACUGCAUUUGAAACUGUGGCCCUUGAGUAUCGGAGAGGCAAGCGGAAUUCCUAGUGUAGCGGUGAAAUGCGUAGAUAUUAGGAGGAACACCAGUGGCGAAGGCGGCUUGCUGGACGACAACUGACGCUGAGGCGGGAAAGCGUGGGGAGCAAACAGGAUUAGAUACCCUGGUA
rnacentral:rRNA from 1 species